CCUACGGGAGGCAGCAGUCGAGAAUCAUUCACAAUGGGGGAAACCCUGAUGGUGCGACGCCGCGUGGGGGAAUGAAGGUCUUCGGAUUGUAAACCCCUGUCAUGUGGGAGCAAAUUAAAAAGAUAGUACCACAAGAGGAAGAGACGGGUAACUCUGUGCCAGCAGCCGCGGUAAUACAGAGGUCUCAAGCGUUGUUCGGAAUCACUGGGCGUAAGGCGUGCGUAGGCUGUUUCGUAAGUCGUGUGUGAAAGGCGCGGGCUCAACCCGCGGACGGCACAUGAUACUGCGAGACUAGAGUAAUGGAGGGGGAACCGGAAUUCUCGGUGUAGCAGUGAAAUGCGUAGAUAUCGAGAGGAACACUCGUGGCGAAGGCGGGUUCCUGGACAUUAACUGACGCUGAGGCACGAAGGCCAGGGGAGCGAAAGGGAUUAGAUACCCGAGUAGUC
rnacentral:rRNA from 1 species